rnacentral:misc_RNA from 1 species
CCGAGUGAGGGCCCUCUGGGUCCAACCUCCCACCCGUGUUUAUCGUACCUUGUUGCUUCGGCGGGCCCGCCGUCAGGCCGCCGGGGGUUUUGUGCCCCGGGCCCGCGCCCGCCGAAGACACCAUUGAACGCUGUCUGAAGUUUGCAGUCUGAGCGAUUAGCUAAAUUAGUUA